rnacentral:rRNA from 1 species
UACGUAGGGUGCGAGCGUUGCUCGGAAUUAUUGGGCGUAAAGCGUAUGUAGGCGGUUUUCUAAGUCUGAUGUGAAAUCCCAGGGCUCAACCCUGGAACUGCAUUGGAUACUGGAAAGCUAGAGGACGAUAGAGGAUGGUGGAAUUCCAGGUGUAGGGGUGAAAUCCGUAGAUAUCUGGAGGAACAUCAGUGGCGAAGGCGGCCAUCUGGAUCGUACCUGACGCUGAGAUACGAAAGCGUGGGGAGCAAACAGG